rnacentral:lncRNA from 1 species
UCUCAAGUAUGGAUAACCCCAAGAACGGGACAGAGAUAAAACCCAGGGAAGACAGCCUGUGGCGUCACAAAGCCAAGUGUUAAACGUCAGUCCUAGUGACUAGGGUGGCUGCCAAAACACUGUGGCUUCUGUGGGGGCUCCACGUAGUAAAGUGUCCUUCCGUCCUCUCCAGGACCCCAUGGGAGGCUGGCAUUAGGCAGCCACUUCAGGAGGUGCAGUGCCAGAUGCAUGAUGUCGUGCCUUUCCGAGUCACCCUCCGGAGGGGCCAGAAGGGAUGUGACCAGGAGGUGGCUGACCAGGACAGGACAAUUCCCAGACUCCCCAGUGUGGAGUCGAUAAACAGCCAGGCAGUGCGAGUUUAUUUGGAACACACGUUGAGCCAGGGAAGCCCGAGAGAGGCAGAGAGGAAGAAGGAAAAAGUGAGUGGGCCCGAUGGGGCAGGACCUUGUUUGCUGGGAACCCAACCCAAGAGAGCUUCGUAUGAGAACCACGAUCACGGCUUCUCCAGAUGGGCCAUGCACUGUCCCUGUGAGGAGUGGCGGCAACACAGCCCACGUCCACUCAAGGGAAUGUGGGAAUCCUAUACAAGUAUGCUUGAAUGUCCACCACCUUCCGGGCACUGUGUUGACGUGGGACAUGGCAGCGAACGAGACAAACCCUGCAGAGCCCUGGGGAUCUCACAUGAGCAAAAGCUUCACUUCUGAGAUCCCUGAGUCACCGUGUAAGAUGUCUGACACCCCUGCUCAUGGGACCAUGGGAAAAGGCCAUGUGGAGAGGAAGAGAGGCCCAGCUGAUGACUCAGCAUCUUAGUUCAGCCUCCAGAUGACUCCAGCCCCAGCCUUUAUCUGGAUGCACCUACGUGAGAGACCCCGAGCAGACCAGCAGAAGAACCAGCAAGCUGAACCCAGUCCACCCACUGACCCAGGAGAGAGAAUAAAAUAGUGGUUGUUUUAAA